UACGAAGGGUGCAAGCGUUACUCGGAAUUACUGGGCGUAAAGCGUGCGUAGGUGGUUUGUUAAGUCUGUUGUGAAAGCCCCGGGCUCAACCUGGGAAUGGCAAUGGAUACUGGCAAGCUAGAGUGCGGUAGAGGGUAGUGGAAUUCCCGGUGUAGCGGUGAAAUGCGUAGGAGAAUCGGGAGGAACACCAGUGGCGAAGGCGGCUACCUG
rnacentral:rRNA from 1 species